rfam:Cavia porcellus supercont2_5 genomic scaffold, whole genome shotgun sequence.
GGGGAUUUAGCUCAGUGGCAUAAGCGCCUGCCUUGCAAGCAGGCAGUCAUGACUUCAAUCCCUG